CCUGCUUCUAGAGGCAUUGCAGGUGUGUAUCAUAUGUGUGCCAGUAGAUGACAGAGAGGAGAGAGGCUAUGUCUAAGCUCACUGCUCUGGCCUGAGAACAUCUGAAUGAGUAGUAGCCUAACACU
ensembl:snoRNA Gm26015 predicted gene, 26015